AACGAACGCUGGCAGCGUGGAUUAGGCAUGCAAGUCGAACGGGAUUCCCUUGCGUAGCAAUACACUUGGGAUGAGAGUGGCGGAAGGGCGAGUAAUGCAUGGGUAAGCUGCCCUCAAGCUGGGGAUAACGCCGCGAAAGUGGCGCUAAUACCGAAUGUGGUAUCGCAACGCAUGUUGUGAAUACUAAAGGCGGGGACCUUCGGGCCUGCCGCUUGGGGAGGUGCCCGUGUGCCAUCAGCUUGUUGGUGAGGUAACGGCUCACCAAGGCUAAAACGGCUAGCUGGUCUGAGAGGAUGACCAGCCGCACUGGGACUGAGACACUGCCCAGACUCCUACGGGAGGCUGCAGUCGAGGAUCAUUCGCAAUGCGCGAAAGCGUGACGAUGCGACGCUGCGUGGAGGAUGAAGGCCUUCGGGUUGUAAACUCCUGUCAUGAGGGAAAAGAGUCGCGGGUGUAAAUAGCGCCUGCGAAGGAUGGUACCUCAAGAGGAAGCCACGGCUAACUCUGUGCCAGCAGCCGCGGUAAUACAGAGGUGGCGAGCGUUGUUCGGAUUUACUGGGCGUAAAGGGUGUGUAGGCGGUACGGUGUGUCGGAUGUGAAAGCCCGUGGCUCAACCACGGAAGUGCAUCCGAAACUGCCGGGCUAGAGUGCAGGAGGGGAGAGCGGAAUUCUUGGUGUAGCGGUGAAAUGCGUUGAUAUCAAGAAGAACACCGGUGGCGAAGGCGGCUCUCUGGAAUGCUACUGACGCUGAAACACGAAAGCUGGGGGAGCAAACAGGAUUAGAUACCCUGGUAGUCCCAGCCGUAAACGGUGCGCACUUGGCGUGGGGGGAUUUGACCCCCUCCGUGCCGGAGCUAACGUGUUAAGUGCGCCGCCUGGGGAGUACGGCCGCAAGGCUAAAACUCAAAGAAAUUGACGGGGGCCCGCACAAGCGGAGGAGCAUGUGGCUUAAUUCGAUGCAACGCGAAGAACCUUACCUGGGUUUGACAUGCAGCUGCAAAUCUCCUGAAAGGGAGACGCCUUCGAGGGUGCUGCACAGGUGCUGCAUGGCUGUCGUCAGUUCGUGCCGUGAGGUGUUGGGUUAAGUCCCGCAACGAACGCAACCCCUAUGUUUAGUUGCCAUCAGGUAAUGCUGGGAUCUCUAAACAGACUGCCCGUAUACGCGGGAGGAAGGUGGGGACGACGUCAAGUCAGUAUGGCCCUUACAUCCAGGGCUGCACACGUGCUACAAUGGUCGGUACAGAAGGAUGCAAGACCGCGAGGUGGAGCAAAUCAUCAAAACCGGCCUCAGUUCGGAUUGGAGUCUGCAACUCGACUCCAUGAAGUUGGAUUCGCUAGUAACGGCGCAUCAGCUACGGCGCCGUGAAUACGUUCCCGGGCCUUGUACACACCGCCCGUCACGUCAUGAAAGCCGUCUGCACCCGAAGUCAUCGAGCCAACCCGCAAGGGAGGCAGGUGCCGAAGGUGUGGGUGGUAAUUGGGACG
rnacentral:rRNA from 1 species